CCCCCAACCAAGUGUUAGUCCCUCUCUUAUCCCUACUGCCCUGGGCCAGGGUCUUCCAAACUGUGACCUUGAAUCAAUCCUCCCCCCCACCCCACACACACACCCCCAAAUAAAAGAAGCAGCUCUCAGCACCUGAGCUUCCAGGUCAGCCACUCGAACGCUUAAUGUUACAUCAUUUUUGUGUCAAGAAAAGACGUGUUUGCUUAAGUUUUCACUAACAAAAUGCUUCUGUGUUGUUGCAGUUUCCAGCCCUCUGAGAGCCGCUGGCUGAAGUUUCUGCACAAGGACUCCCCGGAACUGGAGCUGGGAGGAGGAGUGUGUUUCCAUGGACAGUCCUCAUCUGACAUGGAGGAGUCAGACCCUCCCUUCAGUCAGGAGCUGCCCAGAAAAAGGAAAUGGAGCCCGAGUUGGCCCAGCUGUUGCACCACUGUGACAUCCCAGACUUGGGCACUCCCAGGGGCACCUGGCCACCCCAGAAGGACUCUCCUGGCCUGAACGUGAAGGUGAAGGAAGAUGGCAGUCACUGCCUCUGGAACCAUGAGGACCCAUGACCCCAGGGGCUCCGUGUUGCUCUUGGGGAGCUGCCAAGUCCAGCCUGUCAGGCUGAGGCCACAUCUUCUAAAUGGGUAAGAUUUCUCCCAUCUCCCGUGAACAGCUCCCAGGUGGACACAGAGCAGAGGGGACCCAGACCAGCAGGUCCAGCACAGGCUGAGCAAGGGACCCCAUGGGCCCCAACCCCGAAGGAGAGCUGGGAAGCAGCCAAUGUCCAGCUUCCUCAGGUCAUACAGCCUCCCAGGCCUGGUUCUAACGGACCCUGCAGGAGGAUCCCUGAGCAGCAGAGGGGCAUGGGGCCUCCCCAGGUGCCAGGGACACAGAAGCCUGCAGCCCUGCGGCUCUCUGACCUCUUUACAACAGGAGAGGACUUCAGUGAUGACCUGUGAGCAGAGGCCAGCUUGUCACUGAUGGAGAUGAGGGUGCUGCAGGAGUGCCUCUGCAGCUCCCCCUGGUGUUAAUGUGUGAAAAACCCUGAAAGCUGACAAUAAACACAGGACAGU